AGUGGAUGGGGAGCAACCUAGUUGUGCGUGUGUAAAGGUAGUGCCAAGAAAAGCGAUGAUCAUGUUGAAAAUCAAUUCCCGGUACCCGAAACCGACACAGGGGGGCAAGUAGAGAAUACUAAGGGGCGCGAGGUAACUCUCUCCAAGGAACUCGGCAAAAUGACCCCGUAACUUAGGGAGAAGGGGUGCCACCGAGAGGUGGUCGCAGUGAAGAGGCCCAGGCGACUGUUUAGCAAAAACAUAGGUCUCUGCAAACUCGAAAGAGGAGGUAUAGGGGCUGACGCCUGCCCAGUGCCGGAAGGUUAAAGAAGUUGGUCAGUUUUAGGAUGAAGCUAGCGACUGAAGCCCCGGUGAACGGCGGCCGUAACUAUAACGGUCCUAAGGUAGCGAAAUUCCUUGUCGGGUAAGUUCCGACCCGCACGAAAGGCGUAACGAUCUGGGCGCUGUCUCGGAGAGAGGCUCGGCGAAAUAGGAUUGUCUGUGAAGAUACGGACUACCUGCAUUUGGACAGAAAGACCCUAUGAAGCUUUACUAUAGCUUGGAAUUGUGUUCGGGCUUCCUGUGCGCAGGAUAGGUGGGAGGCGUAGAAGGUAUUCUUGUGGGGAUACUGGAGCCAACGGUGAGAUACCACUCUCAGGAGGCUAGAAUUCUAACUUAAUUAAGGACAGUUUCAGGUGGGUAGUUUGACUGGGGCGGUCGCCUCCAAAAAGGUAACGGAGGCGUACAAAGGUUCCCUCAGACUGGUUGGAAAUCAGUCGAAGAGUGCAAAGGCAGAAGGGAGCUUGACUGCGAGAAGUACAGUUCGAGCAGGGUGGAAACACGGUCUUAGUGAUCCGACGGUGCUGUGUGGAAGGGCCGUCGCUCAACGGAUAAAAGUUACUCUAGGAUAACAGGCUGAUCUCCCCCAAGAGUUCACAUCGACGGGGAGGUUUGGCACCUCGAUGUCGGCUCAUCGCAACCUGGGGCGGAAGUACGUCCCAAGGGUUGGGCUGUUCGCCCAUUAAAGCGGUACGUGAGCUGGGUUCAGAACGUCGUGAGACAGUUCGGUCCAUAUCCGAUGUAGGCGUGAGAAUAUUGAGAGGAGCCUUCCUUAGUACGAGAGGACCGGGAAGGACGCACCGCUGGUGUACCUGUUAUGAUGCCAAUUGUAAACGCAGGGUAGCCAAGUGCGGAGAGGAUAACCGCUGAAAGCAUCUAAGUGGGAAGCCCACCUCAAGAUGAGUAUUCUGGUGUAAGGUCACGGGAAGACGACCCGUAAAUAGGCACGAGGUGGAAGUGCAGAGAUGUAUGAAGCCGGAGUGUACUAAUAGACCGUCGGCUUGACCAA
rnacentral:rRNA from 1 species